rnacentral:rRNA from 1 species
GGGUUGUGAGGUUAAGCGACUAAGCGUACACGGUGGAUGCCCUGGCAGUCAGAGGCGAUGAAGGACGUGCUAAUCUGCGAUAAGCGCCGGUAAGGUGAUAUGAACCGUUAUAACCGGCGAUUUCCGAAUGGGGAAACCCAGUGUGAUUCGUCACACUAUCAUUAACUGAAUCCAUAGGUUAAUGAGGCGAACCGGGGGAACUGAAACAUCUAAGUACCCCGAGGAAAAGAAAUCAACCGAGAUUCCCCCAGUAGCGGCGAGCGAACGGGGAGGAGCCCAGAGCCUGAAUCAGCAUGUGUGUUAGUGGAAGCGUCUGGAAAGGCGCGCGAUACAGGGUGACAGCCCCGUACACAAAAGCGCAUGUGCUGUGAGCUCGAUGAGUAGGGCGGGACACGUGGUAUCCUGUCUGAAUAUGGGGGGACCAUCCUCCAAGGCUAAAUACUCCUGACUGACCGAUAGUGAACCAGUACCGUGAGGGAAAGGCGAAAAGAACCCCGGCGAGGGGAGUGAAAAAGAACCUGAAACCGUGUACGUACAAGCAGUGGGAGCACCCUUCGGGGUGUGACUGCGUACCUUUUGUAUAAUGGGUCAGCGACUUAUAUUCUGUAGCAAGGUUAACCGUAUAGGGGAGCCGUAGGGAAACCGAGUCUUAACCGGGCGUUAAGUUGCAGGGUAUAGACCCGAAACCCGGUGAUCUAGCCAUGGGCAGGUUGAAGGUUGGGUAACACUAACUGGAGGACCGAACCGACUAAUGUUGAAAAAUUAGCGGAUGACCUGUGGCUGGGGGUGAAAGGCCAAUCAAACCGGGAGAUAGCUGGUUCUCCCCGAAAGCUAUUUAGGUAGCGCCUCGUGAAUUCAUCUCCGGGGGUAGAGCACUGUUUCGGCUAGGGGGCCAUCCCGGCUUACCAACCCGAUGCAAACUGCGAAUACCGGAGAAUGUUAUCACGGGAGACACACGGCGGGUGCUAACGUCCGUCGUGAAGAGGGAAACAACCCAGACCGCCAGCUAAGGUCCCAAAGUCAUGGUUAAGUGGGAAACGAUGUGGGAAGGCCCAGACAGCCAGGAUGUUGGCUUAGAAGCAGCCAUCAUUUAAAGAAAGCGUAAUAGCUCACUGGUCGAGUCGGCCUGCGCGGAAGAUGUAACGGGGCUAAACCAUGCACCGAAGCUGCGGCAGCGAACGUAUCACCCAAGACAACUUUACGGAGUUGACGAUUGACGGAGCGAAGCGACGUCAAAGCGUUCAUUAAAGUCGAGUUGGCUUAGGGAUACGUUCGUUGGGUAGGGGAGCGUUCUGUAAGCCUGUGAAGGUGUGUCGUGAGGCAUGCUGGAGGUAUCAGAAGUGCGAAUGCUGACAUAAGUAACGAUAAAGCGGGUGAAAAGCCCGCUCGCCGGAAGACCAAGGGUUCCUGUCCAACGUUAAUCGGGGCAGGGUGAGUCGACCCCUAAGGCGAGGCCGAAAGGCGUAGUCGAUGGGAAACGGGUUAAUAUUCCCGUACUUGGUGUUACUGCGAAGGGGGGACGGAGAAGGCUAUGUUGGCCGGGCGACGGUUGUCCCGGUUUAAGCGUGUAGGUGUGUGUUCCAGGUAAAUCCGGUUCACUUUAACACUGAGGCGUGACGACGAGGCACUACGGUGCUGAAGCAACAAAUGCCCUGCUUCCAGGAAAAGCCUCUAAGCAUCAGGUAACACGAAAUCGUACCCCAAACCGACACAGGUGGUCAGGUAGAGAAUACCAAGGCGCUUGAGAGAACUCGGGUGAAGGAACUAGGCAAAAUGGUGCCGUAACUUCGGGAGAAGGCACGCUGACACGUAGGUGAAGUGAUUUACUCAUGGAGCUGAAGUCAGUCGAAGAUACCAGCUGGCUGCAACUGUUUAUUAAAAACACAGCACUGUGCAAACACGAAAGUGGACGUAUACGGUGUGACGCCUGCCCGGUGCCGGAAGGUUAAUUGAUGGGGUCAGCGCAAGCGAAGCUCCUGAUCGAAGCCCCGGUAAACGGCGGCCGUAACUAUAACGGUCCUAAGGUAGCGAAAUUCCUUGUCGGGUAAGUUCCGACCUGCACGAAUGGCGUAAUGAUGGCCAGGCUGUCUCCACCCGAGACUCAGUGAAAUUGAACUCGCUGUGAAGAUGCAGUGUACCCGCGGCAAGACGGAAAGACCCCGUGAACCUUUACUAUAGCUUGACACUGAACAUUGAGCCUUGAUGUGUAGGAUAGGUGGGAGGCUUUGAAGUGUGGACGCCAGUCUGCAUGGAGCCGACCUUGAAAUACCACCCUUUAAUGUUUGAUGUUCUAACGUGGACCCGUAAUCCGGGUUGCGGACAGUGUCUGGUGGGUAGUUUGACUGGGGCGGUCUCCUCCUAAAGAGUAACGGAGGAGCACGAAGGUUGGCUAAUCCUGGUCGGACAUCAGGAGGUUAGUGCAAUGGCAUAAGCCAGCUUGACUGCGAGCGUGACGGCGCGAGCAGGUGCGAAAGCAGGUCAUAGUGAUCCGGUGGUUCUGAAUGGAAGGGCCAUCGCUCAACGGAUAAAAGGUACUCCGGGGAUAACAGGCUGAUACCGCCCAAGAGUUCAUAUCGACGGCGGUGUUUGGCACCUCGAUGUCGGCUCAUCACAUCCUGGGGCUGAAGUAGGUCCCAAGGGUAUGGCUGUUCGCCAUUUAAAGUGGUACGCGAGCUGGGUUUAGAACGUCGUGAGACAGUUCGGUCCCUAUCUGCCGUGGGCGCUGGAGAACUGAGGGGGGCUGCUCCUAGUACGAGAGGACCGGAGUGGACGCAUCACUGGUGUUCGGGUUGUCAUGCCAAUGGCACUGCCCGGUAGCUAAAUGCGGAAGAGAUAAGUGCUGAAAGCAUCUAAGCACGAAACUUGCCCCGAGAUGAGUUCUCCCUGAGACUUAGAGUCUCCUGAAGGAACGUUGAAGACGACGACGUUGAUAGGCCGGGUGUGUAAGCGCAGCGAUGCGUUGAGCUAACCGGUACUAAUGAACCGUGAGGCUUAACCUUACAACGCCGAAG